CAAAGAGAGUUCUCAUUUUGACAUAUCACCCAUCGAGAUCAGUUGAAUUAACUGGUUUUUUCCCCUUUUUUCAUACAAACUUUGACGUAUCACCCAUCGAGAUCAGUUAAUUUAACUGGUUUUUUCCCCUGUUUUUACGCUCUUUGAACACUGUAUAAAUUUUUUGAAUAGAGAAAGAGAGAGAGAGAGAGAGA